UACGGGGGGGGCAAGCGUUGUUCGGAAUUACUGGGCGUAAAGGGCUCGUAGGCGGCCAACUAAGUCAGACGUGAAAUCCCCAGGCUCAACCUGGGAACUGCGUCUGAUACUGGAUGGCUUGAAUUCGGGAGAGGGAUGCAGAAUUCCAGGUGUAGCGGUGAAAUGCGUAGAUAUCUGGAGGAAUACCAGUGGCGAAGGCGGGUCUCUGGGACGGUACUGACGCUGAGACGCGAAAGCGUGGGGAGCAAACAGG
rnacentral:rRNA from 1 species